rnacentral:rRNA from 1 species
CUACGUGAGCCCCAAGCAUUAUCCGGAAUUAUUGGGCGUAAAGGGUCCGUAGGCGGUUUAGUUAGUCUCUCGUUAAAGCACCAGGCUCAACCUGGGACAUGCGAGGGAAACGGCUAAACUAGAGAAAUUGAGAGGUGAGUGGAACUCAUGGUGUAGGGGUGAAAUCCGUUGAUAUCAUGGGGAACACCAAAAGCGAAGGCAACUCACUGGCAAUUUUCUGACGCUGAGGGACGAAACCCUGGGUAGCGAAUGGGAUUAGAAACCCCAGUAGUCC